rnacentral:rRNA from 1 species
AACGAACGCUGGCGGCAUGCCUAACACAUGCAAGUCGAACGAGACCUUCGGGUCUAGUGGCGCACGGGUGCGUAACGCGUGGGAAUCUGCCCUUAGGUACGGAAUAACUCAGGGAAACUUGAGCUAAUACCGUAUAAUGACUCCGGUCCAAAGAUUUAUCGCCUAGGGAUGAGCCCGCGUCGGAUUAGCUAGUUGGUGAGGUAAAAGCUCACCAAGGCGACGAUCCGUAGCUGGCUGAGAGGAUGAUCAGCCACACUGGGACUGAGACACGGCCCAGACCUCCGUACGGGAGGCAGCGAGGU